AGCGAAGCACCUUGACGGAUUUCUUCGGAUUGAAGCCUUGGUGACUGAGCGGCGGACGGGUGAGUAACGCGUGGGUAACCUGCCUCAUACAGGGGGAUAACAGUUGGAAACGGCUGCUAAUACCGCAUAAGCGCACAGUACCGCAUGGUACCGUGUGAAAAACUCCGGUGGUAUGAGAUGGACCCGCGUCUGAUUAGGUAGUUGGUGGGGUAACGGCCUACCAAGCCGACGAUCAGUAGCCGACCUGAGAGGGUGACCGGCCACAUUGGGACUGAGACACGGCCCAAACUCCUACGGGAGGCAGCAGUGGGGAAUAUUGCACAAUGGGGGAAACCCUGAUGCAGCGACGCCGCGUGAGCGAUGAAGUAUUUCGGUAUGUAAAGCUCUAUCAGCAGGGAAGAAAAUGACGGUACCUGACUAAGAAGCCCCGGCUAACUACGUGCCAGCAGCCGCGGUAAUACGUAGGGGGCAAGCGUUAUCCGGAUUUACUGGGUGUAAAGGGAGCGUAGACGGCAUGGCAAGCCAGAUGUGAAAGCCCGGGGCUCAACCCCGGGACUGCAUUUGGAACUGUCAGGCUAGAGUGUCGGAGAGGAAAGCGGAAUUCCUAGUGUAGCGGUGAAAUGCGUAGAUAUUAGGAGGA
rnacentral:rRNA from 1 species